AGAAGACGGGGGGAGGGGGGUGACGCUGGCCGGUGAGGCUCCUUCCCGACACGGCGGCGAUGUCCGCGAGCCCGGAGCGUGCCGCGGCGGCAGCGGCGGGGCCUCAUGCGCAGCGCGGCACCCUGGCCUUCGGCCUCCCUCCGGCUCCCGUAGAGCGGGCCGGUGGCAAGAGCAGUAGCUGCCGAGGCCGUGGAGUCUCUGGCUUGUCUUCCUCCUUUUCUUCCUCCUUCCCCUUGGCCGUCGGGUACUGAGCCGGGGGAGGGGAGGCGGCCUGAGUGGCCGGGGCGGGGGCUGCUGCUUUGAGGAUGGGAAUUCUCUUCACCAGGAUAUGGAGACUGUUCAAUCACCAGGAGCACAAAGUUAUCAUUGUUGGUCUGGAUAAUGCAGGGAAAACCACCAUUCUUUACCAAUUGAUCUAAGGAAAGCUGGAUUGCUGAUUUUUGCUAACAAACAAGAUGUUAAAGAAUGCAUGACUGUAGCUGAAAUUUCCCAGUUUUUGAAGUUAACUUCAAUUAAAGAUCACCAGUGGCAUAUCCAGGCAUGCUGUGCUCUCACUGGUGAGGGAUUGUGCCAAGGACUUGAAUGGAUGAUGUCACGACUUAAGAUUAGAUGAUCUCUACUGACCUCUGUUUGUAGACUUUGCAUAAAUGAAGUGCUGGACUAUAAUUAACCUGAAAGCUGCAAAAAUUAAUGGGUUAGAUAUAUUUAUAAUAAACUGACAAAACUUUUUCUAUAAGAAACAAAUUAAGACCACUUCUUUGAAAAGAAAGAUGGAGUCCCACGUUCCAGUUUGCUUUCAUAUAAAUUUCUUCUGAAGUUAGGUCUUAAAGCUGUGAUUGACAUUUCUGUCAUGAUGAAUCCUCUCAGGACAUUGUGUAGUCUGUGGCUGGUAAAUACAAGGUAGUAAUUGUGAGCUGCUGGGACCAAAAAAGAAUCAUUACCUAAUGACCCACCAAUGGGUAACAGAGCAUCUUUGACCUUUGCUAAGCUUGUCCUCAAUUGACAGACACAUGGGCCUUUCUAUAUAGAUCUAUGUGAGAAGCCUUUCCAGGAAGAAGAACCUUGCAAACUUCUUGUUCCAUUGAUAGAGAUUUUGACUAUUCCAGAUCACUACCGUGAAAUGAAAAGCAUGGAACAAUGGGAAAAGUUAACACCUACAGGAAAUAAGGGUGAAGCUAUUGAGGAUCCAAGAUAGUCUGUGAUUCACCUGAAGGCACCAAAAUAAUAAGGAAUAGGAGGAGCUAAGUUGCUUACUGAAUAGAAUACUGGACACCACUGAGAAACUGAACGAAAAGAGCCAGGAUGCAAAUCCAAGUUUAUUGUUAUUACUACGUCCUAAGGAAAGGAAUUCAAUAUGGCAUGUUUUAAAAUUAUUUCAGCAACUCUGCUCAACAAGAAUGUGAGAUUAAUCAACAAUCAAUUAAUAAACAUGUAUUAAGUACUUACUGUGUCUCAACAAUGGACAUACAAAUACAAAGAAUGUAUUUACAUUUGCUUCCAUGGAGCUUACAUUCUUUUUUUUAAUAAUUUUUUUAAUAUUUUGAAUUCUGAAUUCUUUCUCUCCUGCGGAUCCCCCAUCCAUUGAAAAAGACAAGCAGGGGGCAGCUAGUUGGUGUAAUGGAUAGAGCACCAGCCCUGAAGUCAGGAGGAUCUGAGUUCAAAUAUGAUCUUAGACACUUAAUACUUCCUGGCUGUGACCCUGGGCAAAUCAUUUAACCCCAAUUGCCUUAGGAAAGAAAAAAAGAAAAAGACAGGAAAUAGGAUAUGACUUUUAUAUGUGAAAUCAUGAAAAAUAAAUUUCUAUAUUAGAAACAUUGAAAAAAAAGACAAGAAAAAUGAAAUGAAAAAAGGAUGCUACAACCGGUACUCAGAAUUUAUCAGUUCUCUUUGGAGGUAUAUAGCAUUUUUUAAUAAUAGGUCUUUUGGAAUUGUCAUGGAUUAUAGCAUUUUUGAAAAAUUUAUUUAUUAUUUUUUUUAUUUACAAAGCAUAUGAAUGGGUGAUUUUUCCAACAUUGAUCCUUGCAAAACCUUUUGUUCCAAAUUUUCCUCUCCUUCCCUCCAUCCCCUCCCCUAGCUGACAGGUAGUCUAAUACAUUUUAAAUAUGUUGGAAUACAUGUUAAAUCCAACAUAUAUAUGUAUAUAUACAUAUUUAUACAGUUAUCUUGCUGCAUAAGAAAAGUCAGAUCAAGAAGAAAGAAAAAGAAAAACUGAGAGAAAACAAAAUGCAAGCAAAUAGCAACAGAGAGUGAGAAUGCUGUAUUGUGUUUCACACUCUGUUCCCACAGUUCUCUUUCUGGGUGUAGAUGGCUCUCUUCAUCACUGAACAAGUGAAACUGGUUUGAAUCCUCUCAUUGUUGAAGAGAGCCAUGUCCAUCAGAAUUGAUCAUCGUAUAGUCUUGUUGUCGUGUAUAAUGAUCUUCUGGUUCUGCUCAUUUCACUUAGCAUCAAUUCACGUGAGUCUCUCCAAGUCUUUCUGAAAUCAAUGGAUCAAAGCAUUUUAUUUUUCCAAAUACAUGUAAAGAUAAUUUUCAACAUUCAUUUCUAUAAAAUUUUGUGUUCCAAAUUUUUUCUUUUCCUCUCUUACCUUCCCCUCCUCAAAACAGCAAACAAUCUGAUAAAAAAUUAAACAUGUGUAAUCCUUUUAAGCACAUUUGUCAUGUUGUGUUGCUUUGGAAUCAGAAUAUUUAAAAUGAAAUCCCACUUCAGUGACAUUGUCAGGAAAUCUUGAGAGGGUGAAAAAUCACAUUAAAAGUGAAAAAAAAACACAAGAAAGAAAAAGUAAACAAUUUAACAAGAAAAAAGGGCAAAAAUGUUAUGUUUCAGUCUGCAUUUAGUCUCCAUAGUUCUCUCUCUUUGGAUGCAGAUUACAUUUUCCAUUCCAAAUCUACUGGAGUUGUUUUAGAUUAUCUCAUUGUUGAGAAGAGACAAGUCCAUCUUGUUAUUGUGUUCAAUGUUUUCCUGGUUCUGCUCACUUCACUCACAGCAAUAGAUGUAAGUCCUUCCAGUAAAUUCCACUAAGUUUUUCUAGGAUUUAAUGAAAUUAGCCUGCUUAUUUCUUAUAGAACAAUAAUAUUCCAUUAUAUUCAUAUACUAUAACUUAUUCAGCCAUUCCCCAAUUUAUGGGGAUCCAUUCAAAUUCCAGUUCUUUAUCACUAUAAAAUGAACUGCUACAAACAUUUUCACACAUGUAAAUCCUUUUCUUUCUUUUAUGAUCUUUUUGGGAUACAGAUUCAGUAAUGACACUGCUGGAUUAAAGGGUAUGCACAGUUUUAUAGCUCUUUGGGCACAGUAUGUAUCAUUGUAUUGCUCAGAGUAGCUAAGUCUUUCAUAAUUAUCAUUACAAUAUUGCUUUUUUACUGUAUAUAAUCUUGUUCUAUUCAGUUCACUUUGCAUCACUUAAAAUAUAGUUUUUGUGAAUUCAUUCUGUUUAUUUCUUUUUUUUUUGCUGAGGCAACUGGGGUUAAGUGACUUGCCCAGGGUCACACAGCUGGGAAGUGUUAAGUGUCUGAGACCACAUUUGAAUCCAGGUCCUUCUGACUUCAGGGUUGGUGCUCUAUCCACUGUGCCACCCUGCUGCCCCUGUUUGCUCUUUCUUAUAGCACAAUAGUAUUCCAUCACUAUCCUAUAUCACAACUUGUUCAUUCAUUCCCCAAAUUUGUAACUGUGUUGUUUUAAGUUGCAUUUCUCUAAUCAAUAGCGAUUUGGAAUAUUUUUUCAUGAUUGUUAAUAAUUUUGAUUUCUUCUGAAAACUGUCUAUUUAUAUCAUUUAAACAUUUAUCAGUUGGGAAAUGGCUCUUAUUUUUAUAAAUUUGUCUAUCCCUAUGUAUCUGAGAAAUGAAGCCUUUAAUAAGAAAAUCUUGCUGUAAAAUUCUCCCUCUCCCCAGUUUGCUGCUUUCCUUUUAAUUUCAGCUGCAUCUCUUCCCUUAUCCACAGUUCUGACUGGUAAAAAUUUCCAUAUUAAAUUGACGUUCUAACAGAGCUAUGUAUACCUUGGCUAUAUGCAUUACCUGUGUUCGAGAAAGUAUUGACCCU
rnacentral:lncRNA from 1 species